GAUGAACGCUGGCGGCGUGCCUAAUACAUGCAAGUCGAGCGAACAGACGAGGAGCUUGCUCCUCUGACGUUAGCGGCGGACGGGUGAGUAACACGUGGAUAACCUACCUAUAAGACUGGGAUAACUUCGGGAAACCGGAGCUAAUACCGGAUAUUAUAUUGAACCGCAUGGUUCAAUAGUGAAAGACGGUUUUGCUGACACUUAUAGAUGGAUCCGCGCCGCAUUAGCUAGUUGGUAAGGUAACGGCUUACCAAGGCAACGAUGCGUAGCCGACCUGAGAGGGUGAUCGGCCACACUGGAACUGAGACACGGUCCAGACUCCUACGGGAGGCAGCAGUAGGGAAUCUUCCGCAAUGGGCGAAAGCCUGACGGAGCAACGCCGCGUGAGUGAUGAAGGUCUUCGGAUCGUAAAACUCUGUUAUUAGGGAAGAACAAAUGUGUAAGUAACUAUGCACGUCUUGACGGUACCUAAUCAGAAAGCCACGGCUAACUACGUG
rnacentral:rRNA from 1 species